rnacentral:rRNA from 1 species
UACGGAGGGUGCAAGCGUUGUUCGGAAUUAUUGGGCGUAAAGGGCAGGUAGGUGGUCUUGAAAGUCUGCUGUGAAAUCCCCGAGCUUAACUUGGGAAGUGCGGCAGAUACUCCAAGACUAGAGUACUGGAGGGGUUCGUGGAAUUCCCGGUGUAGAGGUGAAAUUCAUAGAUAUCGGGAGGAACACCGGUGGCGAAGGCGGCGAUCUGGGUCGAUACUGACGCUGAGGUGCGAAAGCGUGGGGAGCAAACAGG